rnacentral:rRNA from 1 species
AUGAACGCUGGCGGCGUGCUUAAUACAUGCAAGUCGAACGAAGAAUGUAGCAAUACGUUCUGAGUGGCGAAUGGGUGCGUAACACGUGGGUGACCUGCCUCGAAGUGUGGAAUAACAAUUCGAAAGAAUUGCUAAUACCGCAUGUGGUCUUGGAACUUAGAAUACCAAGUCUAAAGCAGUAAUGCGCUUCGAGAGGGGCCCGCGGUCCAUCAGCUAGUUGGUAGGGUAAUGGCCUACCAAGGCUACAACGGAUAGGGGACCUGAGAGGGUGACCCCCCACACUGACACUGAAACACGGGUCAGACACCUACGGGUGGCAGCAGUAAGGAAUAUUGCUCAAUGGGCGAAAGCCUGAAGCAGCAACGCCGCGUGAGCGAUGAAGGCCUUCGGGUCGUAAAGCUCUUUUCGGGGAGAUGAGGAAGGACAGUAUCCCCGGAAUAAGGUACGGCUAACUACGU